UACCUUGUAGCUCAGUUGGAAGAGCAUUGGACUAGCAAACCAAAGGUCGUGGGUUUGAUUCCCACCGUGGUCA
rnacentral:tRNA from 1 species